rnacentral:rRNA from 1 species
GAUGAACGCUGACAGAAUGCUUAACACAUGCAAGUCGAAGGGGAAGUGGUGCUUGCCCCGUGGCAACCAUGGCGGACGGGUGAGUAACGCGUGAGGGACUUACCUGCAGGACUGGGGUAACAGGGGGGAACUCCUGACCAAACCGGAUAAUGUCAUGGAGGUGCAUGGGUUUGGGUUGGAAGGGUUCGCCUGCGGAGAGCCUCGCCUCGUAUUAGCUAGUUGGUGGGGGGAUGGCUCAACAAGGCGAAGAGAGGGGGCCGCCCUGAGAGGGAGGACGGCCACAAGGGCACUGAGAUGCCGCCGUUACUCCUACGGGGGGCAGCAGUGGGGAAUAUUGGACUAGGGGGGCAACCGUGAUACAGAAACUCUGUGUGCAAGAAGAAGGUUUGCGGAUUGAAAAGUGCUUGCAGCAGAGAAGAAGUAAGUGACGGUACCUGCAGAAGAAGCGACGGCUAAAUACGUG